AGCAGCCGCGGUAAUUCCAGCUCCAAUAGCGUAUAUUAAAGUUGUUGCAGUUAAAAAGCUCGUAGUUGAAUUUCGGGAUCAAAUUGUCGGUCGUGCUUCGGUACGCACUGGCAUUAUUGGUUCCUACCUUCUGAAGAACCGCGAUGUCAUUAAUUUGGUGUCGUGGGGAAUCAGGACUGUUACUUUGAAAAAAUUAGAGUGUUUAAAGCAGGCGCACGCUUGAAUACAUUAGCAUGGAAUAAUGAAAUAGGACGUUUGAUUCUAUUUUGUUGGUUUCUAGGAUCGACGUAAUGAUUAAUAGGGAUAGUUGGGGGCAUUAGUAUUCAAUUGUCAGAGGUGAAAUUCUUGGAUUUAUUGAAGACUAACUACUGCGAAAGCAUUUGCCAAGGAUGUUUUCAUUAAUCAAGAACGAAAGUUAGGGGAUCGAAGACGAUCAGAUACCGUCGUAGUCUUAACCAUAAACUAUGCCGACUAGGGAUCGGAUGAUGUAAUUUUUAAUGACUCAUUCGGCGCCUUACGG
rnacentral:rRNA from 1 species